AUUGAACGCUGGCGGCAGGCCUAACACGUGCAAGUCGAGCGGAUGAAGGGAGCUUGCUCCUGGAUUCAGCGGCGGACGGGUGAGUAAUGCCUAGGAAUCUGCCUGGUAGUGGGGGAUAACGUCCGGAAACGGGCGCUAAUACCGCAUACGUCCUGAGGGAGAAAGUGGGGGAUCUUCGGACCUCACGCUAUCAGAUGAGCCUAGGUCGGAUUAGCUAGUUGGUGGGGUAAAGGCCUACCAAGGCGACGAUCCGUAACUGGUCUGAGAGGAUGAUCAGUCACACUGGAACUGAGACACGGUCCAGACUCCUACGGGAGGCAGCAGUGGGGAAUAAUGGACAAUGGGCGAAAGCCUGAUCCAGCCAUGCCGCGUGUGUGAAGAAGGUCUUCGGAUUGUAAAGCACUUUAAGUUGGGAGGAAGGGCAGUAAGUUAAUACCUUGCUGUUUUGACGUUACCAACAGAAUAAGCACCGGCUAACUUCGUG
rnacentral:rRNA from 1 species